rnacentral:rRNA from 1 species
AUUGAACGCUGGCGGCAGGCUUAACACAUGCAAGUCGAGCGGAGAGAGGUAGCUUGCUACUGAUCUUAGCGGCGGACGGGUGAGUAAUGCUUAGGAAUCUGCCUAUUAGUGGGGGACAACAUUCCGAAAGGAAUGCUAAUACCGCAUACGCCCUACGGGGGAAAGCAGGGGAUCUUCGGACCUUGCGCUAAUAGAUGAGCCUAAGUCGGAUUAGCCAGUUGGUGGGGUAAAGGCCUACCAAGGCGACGAUCUGUAGCGGGUCUGAGAGGAUGAUCCGCCACACUGGGACUGGGACACGGCCCAGACUCCUACGGGAGGCAGCAGUGGGGAAUAUUGGACAAUGGGCGGAAGCCUGAUCCAGCCAUGCCGCGUGUGUGAAGAAGGCCUUUUGGUUGUAAAGCACUUUAAGCGAGGAGGAGGCUACCUGGAUUAAUACUCUAGGAUAGUGGACGUUACUCGCAGAAUAAGCACCGGCUAACUCUGUGCCAGCCGCCGCAGUAAAAC